UAGCUAUAUUUCUACUGUAUUACUAAACCAUAAAGGGCUAUUUUUGCAUGUUUUGACCUCUAUAUUGUAAUUUACAUAGGUUUUAAGUGCCAUUGAUAAUGCGUAAAUUGCUUUCUUUUGGUAACUUCACAAUAUCAUACUGUUAAAUACAUUUUCAGAUUUUUAGGAAAAUUGGCAUGAAUCUGGAGGUGUGCUGCUUUAAGCCUCAGACAUUUUCAUAUUUAUUUCCAUUGUGUAGAAAAGGCAAACAUUUGUAACAUGCUGAAUAUUUUAAAUAAACUUGUCUCACUUCAAUUUUUGGGACUGUCCAUUAUCAAUUUUAGGGAUAUCAAUUUAAAUAUUUUAAAGUUUGUCAGCCAACAGUAUAGAGCCUGGUCAGACUGCACGGAUGUGCAGGCUGGCCUGGCUCUAUACUGGUGGCAAAGGCUUAACACUUUCGAUGCUUAUUGCCUGAAAUAGAUAAGAGUUGAAUGUAAAAUAAUUUCUGAUAAAGGUAUCAAAAUGUAAAUAAAGUAGUGUUAUGACUUCUAUACAAUAUAUUAUAAACUGUAACUGUACUAAUUACCGUAAUGCAAAGGGAAAUUGUUAUAUGACAUCAAAAAUAGAAUGUAAAUAUUACCAUAUCUUGAGGCCUAAUGGGCCUUUAAUUGACCAAAAAUAUAUACUGGUGGCAAAGGCUUAACGCUUUUGGUUCCAGCACUAAAAGGAUUAAAAGUGUUGUUUUUAUUGAUUUCUUGAGGCCUAAUGGGCCUUUAAUUGACCGAAAAUGGAAAAUACAAAAUUGUUCUAAUAUGUUGUGUAUUGUUUCGUUAGUUCAUGUGUAAUAUCAUGUAACAUUGUCAAUACAGUAUUUUAUAACAAGCAUAAUAUAACAGUUGUUAGAGAAGAAGUUGUCUAAUAAAAUUAAUUAUUUAACCGUCUAUAAUUGUAACAUGUUUUCCACAGUGUCCUCUCUUGUGUGGAGGACUCAAGAUAAAUAAAAUUUCAAACAAACAAA